CGUCGUCAUCAAGAGCGUCAGGAGAAAGAGAGAGGGACGAACUCGCGACGGAGAGGGAGGAAGUUGCGCCACGCAGCCGUGGAGCCCGUCACACGUGUCACCACCGUCGGAAGUAGAACCACGAAGAGGAGAGGAAGAACGACGUUGGGAGGAAACUGUGAGCUGCAAGCCGCUGACCGAGAAGAAGCUCUGCCUUUGUCACCGUGUUGGAGUCGUCGCUGCCAACGCCGCGCACCGCCGUUAGCGCUGCCGUUGAAGGGAGCUCGCCGUCACAGUUCAAUCAUCAUUGAGCUUGAAGGGAGGCGCCACUGAAAUACCCGACAGCAGCUUCCCCUGCGUUCCCAAUUCCAUUCUUGAAACUGUAACACUCUUGCUCGUGCUCUGCUUCCCGAUUUUAUUUCUCUACUAUAUUUUCAUUCUGAAUACAAUAGUGUAUGUUCCUGUUUUGUAUUGUUGUCUCCAUCGUCAAUCUGGAUCCUAGUCGACCCCGUCGUUCAUGCCCCUUCGCUGCACCUGUUUCUCUACUGCUAUUAUUUGGAGUACCGGCGUUGAUGCUAUUAUGAAUCUGUUAGAGUUGCUAUUGGGCUGUGAUUGCUCUUAAUUUCCACCCAAUUUGAAUCCUUUGCUUGGUUACAACCCCGAUCACUGCUGUGAUGAUUAACAAUGCUGCUAUUCUGGUUACUGCCUCUGCCGUUCCAGUUGCGUGAGAGUCACUGCUGUUGCCAUGAAACUAAAAGGGAAGGAAGUUGUUACGUUAAGUAUGCGAUUGCGACAUCGAGUGACACAGGUUUGAAGACGCAACUUGAAGCUGCGAGCGAUUAGUAGGUUUUCUUUAUGGUUUAAUUUGGUCUGGUAGAGUCCCCUCGCCGAUUGUCCCUUGAGAUUUUAUUUCAUAUAGAGGGGUAGGUUUGGUAUAUUGUAUUUGAGUUUUAUUUGGUUUCUUUUGUACAAGAAUUAUUAUCAAUAAUAUUUAUGUGAUUAUUGUUUGUUAAAAAUCUUUGAUAUAUGUCUUUAAAGAACAAAAACAAAAUUUUCUGGAAUUUUCUUAAAACUAAGACGCAAACUCGAUACAAAGGCUCAAUAAUUAAGUAGUUAAUACUAGAGAAGGUUACGUAAUGUUCUUUCUAGUAGAAAUACCCUGACUUAAGCAAGGUAUUUUGCUGGAAGGGAUGUUACAAUAUGGUAUCAGAGCAGUCCUUCCUGUAGAGCCUUGGGAGUGGACUGACUAUGCUUCACUGCAUACUCUGAGUGUCUGUCAUGCUUUCUAACUUGUUCUGAUGACAAGAUUUUAUGUUUUAUAUGCAUGACUGUCUAGUGAUUAACGCUAUUAGUUUACCAUUGCAUACCUCAUGGUAUCAAGUUUGGCCAACUUAAUACUAAU